GUCGUGAGAUGUUGGGUUAAGUCCCGCAACGAGCGCAACCCUUGUCCUUAGUUGCUACGCAAGGGCACUCUAAGGAGACUGCCGGUGACAAACCGGAGGAAGGUGGGGAUGACGUCAAGUCCUCAUGGCCCUUAUGGGUAGGGCUUCACACGUCAUACAAUGGUCGGUACAGAGGGUUGCCAACCCGCGAGGGGGAGCCAAUCCCAGAAAGCCGAUCGUAGUCCGGAUCGCAGUCUGCAACUCGACUGCGUGAAGUCGGAAUCGCUAGUAAUCGCGGAUCAGCAUGUCGCGGUGAAUACGUUCCCGGGUCUUGUACACACCGCCCGUCACACCAUGGGAGUGGAAUCCGCCAGAAGUAGGUAGUCUAACCGCAAGGGGGACGCUUACCACGGUAGGUUUCAUGACUGGGGUGAAGUCGUAACAAGGUAGCCGUAUCGGAAGGUGCGGCUGGAUCACCUCCUUUCUCGAGAGACGGUCCUUAUGGCGAAGUAACCCUUCGUUGUAAGCGAUCCACUUUGGGCGAAGGGCAGUGCCUACAACCUAUCGGUUGUUUGUGAAGACCUGGACGAGGAGGGUCUGUAGCUCAGCUGGUUAGAGCACCGUCUUGAUAAGGCGGGGGUCGAUGGUUCGAGCCCAUCCAGACCCACCACUAAUCAGAAGACAGAGGCCAGAAGACAGAGGACAGAAGGAGCGCAGGGGAGACGAUGUUGCUGUCCUCUGACUUCUGUCUUCUGUCCUCUGAUGGGGGUGUAGCUCAGCUGGGAGAGCACCUGCUUUGCAAGCAGGGGGUCAUCGGUUCGAUCCCGUUCACCUCCACCACUACCGGGUCACCAAGCGACGACGAGUAAAAAUCAGAACAGAAGGCAUGUUGAUGUCUUGUGUUCUGGUCUUUAGGAUCAGUGGUAAUCGGUUGUUCUUUAACAAUUAGGAAGAAGUAAAGGUUCGUUCUUUGGAGCGCUCUGUUGUAUUGGGGUGAUCUGGGGGACGGAUUUGGGUAAAGAUUGAAUCAAGACAUGUCUUGGGGUAGUCAGCCCUUAAGGCAUGGCAAACACCUGAUGCUGUGACGCGGCUGUAUAGCGUUAUAGGAUCAAGCGAAUAAGUGCAUAUGGUGGAUGCCUUGGCGAUCACAGGCGAUGAAGGACGUCGUAGCGUGCGAAAAGUUUCGGGGAGCCCGCAACCAGGCUUUGAUCCGGAAAUGU
rnacentral:sRNA from 1 species